CGCGUGGGGAAUCUGCCUUUGAGCGGGGGACAACAUUUGGAAACGAAUGCUAAUACCGCAUAAAAGCUUUAAACAUAAGUUAAAAGUUUGAAAGAUGCAAAAGCAUCACUCAAAGAUGAUCCUGCGUUGUAUUAGCUAGUUGGUAGGGUAAAGGCCUACCAAGGCGAUGAUACAUAGCCGACCUGAGAGGGUGAUCGGCCACAUUGGGACUGAGACACGGCCCAAACUCCUACGGGAGGCAGCAGUAGGGAAUCUUCGGCAAUGGGGGCAACCCUGACCGAGCAACGCCGCGUGAGUGAAGAAGGUUUUCGGAUCGUAAAACUCUGUUGUUAGAGAAGAACGUGUGUGGGAGUGGAAAAUCCAUGCAGUGACGGUAUCUAACCAGAAAGGGACGGCUAACUACGUG
rnacentral:rRNA from 1 species